rnacentral:rRNA from 1 species
ACCAAGGAGUCUAACACGCGCGCGAGUCGCAGGGAAUUACGAAACCCGCGGGCGAAACGAAAGUGAAGGUCGUUCUCAAGGACGACUCGGGCGGGAUCCGCGGUGAAGAGAUUUGCCGCGGCGCACCGCCGGCCCGUCUCGGCCGCAACGUCGGCGAGGCGGAGCAGUAGCGCGCGCGUUGGGACCCGAAAGAUGGUGAACUAUGCCUGAGCAGGACGAAGCCAGAGGAAACUCUGGUGGAGGUCCGCAGCGAUUC